rnacentral:rRNA from 1 species
AAUAGAUACCCGGGUAGUCCACGCCGUAAACGAUGAGUGCUAAGUGUUGGGGGGUUUCCGCCCCUCAGUGCUGCAGCUAACGCAUUAAGCACUCCGCCUGGGGAGUACGGUCGCAAGACUGAAACUCAAAGGAAUUGACGGGGGCCCGCACAAGCGGUGGAGCAUGUGGUUUAAUUCGAAGCAACGCGAAGAACCUUACCAGGUCUUGACAUCCCGGUGACCACUAUGGAGACAUAGUUUCCCCUUCGGGGGCAACGGUGACAGGUGGUGCAUGGUUGUCGUCAGCUCGUGUCGUGAGAUGUUGGGUUAAGUCCCGCAACGAGCGCAACCCUUAUUCUUAGUUGCCAUCAUUCAGUUGGGCACUCUAAGGAGACUGCCGGUGAUAAACCGGAGGAAGGUGGGGAUGACGUCAAAUCAUCAUGCCCCUUAUGACCUGGGCUACACACGUGCUACAAUGGACGGUACAAACGGUUGCCAACCCGCGAGGGGGAGCUAAUCCGAUAAAACCGUCUCAGUUCGGAUUGUAGGCUGCAACUCGCCUACAUGAACG